GGGCUUGUAGCUCAGCUGGGAGAGCGCUGCGUUCGCAACGCAGAGGUCAUGGGUUCGAAUCCCACCAGGUCCACCA
rnacentral:tRNA from 1 species